rnacentral:tRNA from 1 species
GGGGAGGUGGCCGAGUGGUUGAAGGCGCUCGCCUGCUAAGCGAGUAAGGGGACCUAAAUCCCCUUCGCGGGUUCAAAUCCCGCCCUCUCCG